CUUAAUUGAGAAAAAGAGAAAAGCAAGCCGGCCACGCACCCACGACCCCCUCCUCUCUUCCUCACACGCCGCCGGCCCCGACUCGCCUUCCACCUCCGGCGACCCCCCUGCCUCCCACCUCCUGCGACCCGCCGCGCCCCCCGGCCUCCCAUCUCCGGCGACCCACCGCGCCCCCUGGCCUCCCAUCUGCGGGCGACCCACCACGCCCCCCGCCUCCCACCUCCGGCGCCGGGCCAAGCCCCCCCGGCUCCCACCUCCGGCGACGCGCCACGGCCCCGCCUCCCACCUCCAGCGAUGCGCCACGGCCCCGCCUCCCACCUUCGGCGAUGCCCCACGGCCCUGCCUCCCAUCUCCGGCGACGCGCCAUCCCUGAACCCCGCCUCCCAUCUCCUUCGACGCGCCGUCCCUGAACCCUGCCUCCUCUCUCGCGUCGCCCCCAUUGGCCCUCGAGCGCGGCCGUCCCUCCCACGGAGCCAAGCUCGCGACCGUCACUUCCACCACGCCGAGCUCGCACUCCAUCGCCGCUGGCGCCCCCAACCUCGCGUCAUCCAUGACCCCUCCAUUACACUCCUAUUCUUCAGGAACAUGUCAGUUCGUGUGGAGCAUAACAGUCCGUCAGUUCGUCGGUGGGAUUCGCAGGAUCCGCAGAGCGGCAGCAGCGCUCACUCUCCAAUGGUUGCCCGCGCAAGGAGGAUACAGGGAUGCGACAGUGGUGGAGGAGUCAGCAGCGUUCCAUGGCCUUCGUCCUCCUAGUCGCAUCUUUUCUUAUAAACAGCCAGAAGAAAACGACGCACAGGCUUCAUGCUCCAUCUCCUGGUGAAGGGGAGUUAAGCUCUAGGACCACUUGGAUGUGGAUGCUCAUGCUCCUCCACUGGGCGAGCUCCAAGGGCACCACGGGGCUUGAGAUUGUCAUCUCUACCCUCGGCCGUGAGGGCCAAGAGGCUGCCUGCACCCUGCUAAAUGAAAUGCUACUUCCGACCACCAACUCGCCUGAUGCCCGUAUGUAGACCGCCAUGCUUUUCAUGAUUUCCUGUAUGCCUGUACAUGAAAAAGUCUCAACAAUUCCGUUUCUUGUCUUCAUGAUUUUGUGCUUGCUUAUCACAAGUUCACGUUACAUGCUCAAUGUAGUAGCUAGCUGAAGAAAGGGUAUUGUUCUGUAGCUUUGGUCUUACCAUUGUGGUGCUUGUGUUAUUGCGUGGGAAAAUGAAAGAAAGGAUUUUUUAGCAAAUCAAUGAAUGAGAAAAGAGUUUGCUAUUUUCCCGGUUAAUUUAGAGCUCCAAAAAUGUUCAGAGUUCAGAGUAGUUGUUUGGAGACGAACAAUGAAUAAGUAUAAUAAAACAAAAGAAAAAUUAGUAAAAUAGUACGACAAAGUUCACUAUGUAUUCCACCAUCAGUACAUAAAGAAAUAUCAUACAAAUUCCCUGCUCACGGGACUAUAUUUAUAGCCUAAUGGUUAGUGUCAAAAUGUGUUGUUCUUGUUUCUUUAUGGUUACUUCUUUAUUAUAUGAAUAUGAAUGUGCUAGCUAGCUUAGCAGUACCAUUUGCAGUCAGUAGGUGUAGCUCACACAAUUCUUGGGUCAAUUUUGUCAUAACAAUAAGGCAGGACAUGCUUGCAAGAUGAUGAAACCAUGUAUAUAUAACUUGAUGACUAUCCAAAUUGAGAAAACCCUGAAAUAUUAUAUGUGCUCUCUUUGUAUCAGUUCUUAUGCUUGUGACAAUUCUACACUCAUACUGUGUUCAGGUUAUUGGUUUCCUCUUGAGCAGAUGAACUACAUUGUCACAUUAAACUACGGGGACAUGUUCCCUCAGUCCUCUCUCGACAAAUCCAACAGUACAGGUUCUCCGGUGCGCCAAGUAUUGCCAGUGGCGAUGUCUGCAUCAUGGCCCAUUGAGGAGAACAUGCCAGUCAGUUGUAGGUUUUUCUAUAUGCACAUUUAUCUGUUUAGCUUUAAAUUUUGUUAUUUUCCACAUUUGACACUUGUGUUAAUGCUUCUGUGUCGUGCACUUAUGAUUCCAUUGUGAGGAAAAAAGACAAGUGAGCUAAGUACUUGUUUGGAAAGUUUCUAAGUUCAAACAAAAAAACCUAAAGAUGUUCAUUGAGAAAGUUUUGUUUCGUUAAAAAAUGUGGUUUUUGGUUGGAAAAUCACUUAGGAAAAUAGUUCACUUUUGCUAAUUCCUGUAGUUCUCUGGAUAGAAAAAAUGAUGGUUCAAUUUGCUGAGUCUCGUGGUCUAGAAAAUUAUUUUUCUUUGUUUGAAACAGUUCAGUGCUUAAGCCACAGAAAAAAGUGAGCUGUUUUGUUCAAGGGAGUUCGAAAAAUAAACACACAUGAAGUUCAAGAUUGGAACUAACAUAGAAAAAAUGUACACACAUUCUCGUGCACUUAUGACCCUGCUUAGGCAUGCUUCUCUGGUCGUGCCACGUGCCAUGGAUACAUGAUGCGAUUUUCGGAUCUAGAAUAGCACGAAAGGGGGUACCAAGCUUAACUAACACUCAAGUAUUUAAAAUUUCCAUGGGAAACUAAUAUUCAUGCACCUCUUUGGUGGAUUUUUUGAUAUAUUUCUUUCAUGAAUGUAUACAUUGUACUGCUCUAUUAUGUACAUCCGGGCAUGAUGCACAGAAUAAAACAUUAUGAGAUCCUUGGUUUACUUACAGGUAGGUCAUUAGUUCAAACCUAACACAGAAACUACUUGCUUGGCAUUCUAGCUCUUGUUUUCCCAAGACUAGUACUGGUAAAUGUUAUUUCCCUAUGUAUUCUUUCCUCAGUCCAUAGAGAAACAUGGGAAUAGUUCGAUUGUGUUGGAUAGAUAGUUCAAUUUUAUAUAUCAUAAGAAGAAAAGAACAUGUUUUCUAUAGGAGAAAAUCAAAAACAUCAUUAACAACUCACUAUGUAUUCUACCAUCAAUUCUGUGUGUAUUAGAGAGAGGGUUUGGUGUCUCAUUGUUUACACUUGCCCAGAAAAAAAAUGUUCUGUUGCAGAUUAGGACCAUUGUAUUUACAUUUUUUUAAACAAAGAACUAAUCAGUUCAUACAAGUUCAAAAGACAAAGCAUCGAAAGUUCAAUCGAAAGCUCUCACCACUUUCCUUUCUAUUUCUUAAUUAUUGUACGACAUUUCAAGCAUUGAGCAAAAGGGAUUAGUAUAAAUUGUAGAAGUAGUUGCAGGAUGCUUAAGUUCUUUUGACUUUCUUUUCUCUCAUUCUUCCUGUACUGACGAGCUGUUUCAUUUUGCUGGUUUCAAAAGUAGAAGGGGAAGAUGUAGAGGCUGGACUACUCAGAGCCUUUGCCGCUGAUGUUGUGUUGUGUUAGGUCAACACGUAGUAGUAAAAUUAUUUUGCAGGAAGAGAAGACAGCGAGAAGAUGUUCCAGGUGACACGUCCUUCCAUCAAAACAAAAAGUUCAAACAUAGCAAAAAGUCGCAGAAAAGGAUGUGAACAUAGUAUACUCCCAUGGCUGUACGAGUAAACAUACACCAAGUGUAGACUUUCACCAUGUGCUUUAUCAUCAGUUAAAAAAAAGCUUUGUGUGUGCUACUGAAAUUGACAUGGUUUAGUUUGCUUUUACUUGUAUGCUACUGAUAGAUCAACAUUAUUUGCUUGUGUACUAAAGUGACUAAUUUGAACCACACUGCUUGUGUACUGA